rnacentral:rRNA from 1 species
CCUACGGGAGGCAGCAGUGAGGAAUAUUGGUCAAUGGGCGGAAGCCUGAACCAGCCAAGUAGCGUGCAGGAUGACGGCCCUACGGGUUGUAAACUGCUUUUAUACGGGAAUAACGCGCCUUACGUGUAGGGCUUUGCAUGUACCGUAUGAAUAAGGACCGGCUAAUUCCGUGCCAGCAGCCGCGGUAAUACGGAAGGUCCGGGCGUUAUCCGGAUUUAUUGGGUUUAAAGGGAGCGUAGGCCGCAUGUCAAGCGUGCUGUGAAAUGUCCGGGCUCAAACCGGGCCUUGCAGGGGGGACUGGGCGGGCUGAGGUCCGCGGAAGCAAGGCGAAAU